GACGAACCGUGCGAACGUUGUUCGGAAUUACUGGGCGUAAAGGGCGCGUAGGCGGCCUACUAAGUCGGACGUGAAAUCCCUCGGCUCAACCGGGGAACUGCGUCCGAUACUGGUGGGCUCGAAUCCGGGAGAGGGAUGUGGAAUUCCAGGUGUAGCGGUGAAAUGCGUAGAUAUCUGGAGGAACACCGGUGGCGAAGGCGGCAUCCUGGACCGGUAUUGACGCUGAUGCGCGAAAGCCAGGGGAGCAAACGGG
rnacentral:rRNA from 1 species